UCGGGUAUAGUUUAGUAGUAAAACUCUAGCCUUCCAAGCUAAUGAUGCGGGUUCGAUUCCCGCUACCCGCCUAU
rnacentral:tRNA from 1 species